AGUGAACGCUGGCGGUAGGCCUAACACAUGCAAGCCGAACGGCAGCACAGUAAGAGCUUGCUCUUACGGGUGGCGAGUGGCGGACGGGUGAGGAAUACAUCGGAAUCUACUUUUUCGUGGGGGAUAACGUAGGGAAACUUACGCUAAUACCGCAUACGACCUACGGGUGAAAGCAGGGGAUCUUCGGACCUUGCGCGAUUGAAUGAGCCGAUGUCGGAUUAGCUAGUUGGCGGGGUAAAGGCCCACCAAGGCGACGAUCCGUAGCUGGUCUGAGAGGAUGAUCAGCCACACUGGAACUGAGACACGGUCCAGACUCCUACGGGAGGCAGCAGUGGGGAAUAUUGGACAAUGGGCGCAAGCCUGAUCCAGCCAUACCGCGUGGGUGAAGAAGGCCUUCGGGUUGUAAAGCCCUCUUGUUGGGAAAGAAAAGCAGCAGGUUAAUACCCCGCUGUUCUGACGGUACCCAAAGAAUAAGCACCGGCUAACUUCGUG
rnacentral:rRNA from 1 species